rnacentral:rRNA from 1 species
CCGGCGCACGGGUGAGUAACGCGUAUGCAACUUACCUAUCAGAGGGGGAUAACCCGGCGAAAGUCGGACUAAUACCGCAUAAAGCAGGGAUCCCGCAUGGGAAUAUUUGCUAAAGAUUCAUCGCUGAUAGAUAGGCAUGCGUUCCAUUAGGCAGUUGGCGGGGUAACGGCCCACCAAACCGACGAUGGAUAGGGGUUCUGAGAGGAAGGUCCCCCACAUUGGUACUGAGACACGGACCAA